UUUCUGUGUUGUUCAGCUCCACCAUCAGCCAUGCAGCUGUCCCUGGGUGUAAAGAGGCCUUUCUGACCUGAUCCUACCAUGCCAUGGACCCUUUGAUUGUUCACCUGGAGCAGUAACAGCUAGCCAUUAAACAGCAUUUAAUGGCCAUGGCCAGAGACUCCAUGUAUGGGACUGUGCUGGCAUCGCUUUAGGAAGGGGAGGGGAUUGGCUACUGGGGUUGACUAGCUCAAAGCAACACAGAUAUAACGAAAAAACCUGUGUUAUAUCACAUGUUCAUCUACUGCCUGCAUUCCACCUCCUGCCGCAGGCGCUGCCGCUUCCCUGCAUGCCCCGGGAACUGCGGACUGUUCAGGUGCUGUGGGGCUACAAGGACAAUCUGAUCUGCUUCAGCUUCUUCUAUGCUCUUUGCUGGGUCACUUCUUAGGAAGAAGGUAUUUCCUUUCUGCUCUGCUAUGUGUCUGUGUAUCAGUUAGGAGGCUGAGAACAGCUGAGCAUCAGCGAUCUCCUUGUGCUGUGUUCCAUCCUGCGGCUCGUCGCUCCAUCACUGAGAUCCAUAGGCUUCAUUUCAGCUCUUUGGCAAUGCUUCUUCUAACCUUGCUGCAAGAAGUCCUUGUGGCCAAUGCAUCCUCCCUAACGAGGCUGACGGGCUGCUGGCGAAAGGUGCCAGAGGAUGGAAGCUGGCAUGCUGAGGGCUUCUGUCCUGCGGUGCAGGCUGCUGGGAUCUGCCUUCCAUUGUGCUACUGAAACAUCAUCAAAGCCAGGAAAUGGGAGUGCCAUUCCAGUGAAAACCUUUGCAGUGCUGCAGCAGAGAGCCUUAAAUUCAAAGCAGGUCUGUAGACUUGGCAUCUUUGCUAAUAAUAAUACAGUAUGUGCUGAGAGCCCGUCUGGAGGCUGUGGGAGAGGGGUUGUGCUUCUGUGGUGAGGAACGGGGCAGCUCUAAUGAUUUAUUCAGCUCUAAAUUGAGGCAAAUUGUACUGAAAGCUGUAGGAUGCUCCUCAAACAUGGAAUUUCUGCUUCCUAAAGGAAUGAAUGCUAGCAACAUAUUCUGCAGUGAAUGUUCCUCUUUCUAAUCUGUUUUCUCUUACCCUUGUUUGGUUUGUACUGGUUUUGCUCCAUGUACUGGGCUGUGUGCUCUGCUGAUUCCCAUUCCCUGGUAGGAACCAAUAUGCAGCAGUCUAUUAUUUCUAAGGCAGACUCUUCUAAUUCAGUCUUAAAACAAUAAUUUACCAUCAGUUACUGUUAAUUUUGUGUUGUCUUUUCCCAGUACUUUAAAAAUCAGAACUAGAAGGCGCUGCAUUAGGCCAGUGAAUGAUUCCAGCUUACACUGCCCACACAUUUGGGAAGGCUGCUUCAUCACUUCACUGCUACAUUUGUCACCUGACACCUGAGGACAGGUCACUGGAUCACAGUUCCUUACUGCCCUGCAGCUGGGGAAGGAGUUUGCAGCCCUUCUGCUGAGAAGACAGGGCUGGGUCUGCAGCCAUUAAAAGGAGCAGAAGAAGAUUUCCUCGAAUUCCUGCAUUGCUGUGAGCUGACACAAGGGCACGGCGCUCCACGCAGCAACCACCAGAUGUGCAGUGCAGGGUGUGUGUCGUGGAGCUAAUUUGGUUGUUGCCUAGAGAGCAAGGAGUUAAAGAGCAAAUGGUUUGCAGAUAGGUGUCUGGAGAAAAUCCUGAGCAGCACUGUUCCUUGGAUGAUUCACUUGCACAUUCCUGCUGCAGUAACCAGAAGCUGAAGGAGCUGAGCUCAUAGGCUGAGUCUGCCUGUGCACCCUAUGGUAGUUUGCACGGUAUGGAUUUGCUAAUGAGGGAGGGCCACAGUGAUCAUUACUUAUGCAGCAUCUCAGGAAAGAUUAAUGGCUGUAUAUCUGGCUCUUCUCAUAGCCCAUAAAUCUUCACUGCAGUUAAUGAGUCUUUAUUGAUUCUGUCAGGUAGGGUAAUUUCCAUUUCUUUCAUCAAGGCACGUUAAAUACACGCUUAUCUACUUUUCUUUUCUUAUUAUUAUUUGUUUCCAGUUAUCUCUUCGCUUGUCUAAUCAAGUCUGGAAAAAAUAAUUGUCAUUAAUUCACUGACCUGAACCUGGGCCGAGCUGUUCUGUGCACUGGCUGAAUGUGACAACUAAUCCAACAGAAAUAUGCAUUAUAUUCCCCUACAUUGCCACCUUGAAACGUCCCGGCACUGCCUCCCUGCAGUACUGGUGCUGCCACAGGGACAGGGACACGAGCUGAAGUCUCCAUGAAGUCCUGUAUGGAACAAAGGCCAGAAGGAAGUCAUGAUUUCAGUGUGUCUACUGUACUGGAAGGAAAAACAGAACAAACAGAUCCUCCUUGAAACUCUUCCCACAACCAAACUUUUAAUGUUUUUAUGAGAGAUCUGCACAUGUAUUCACAUUUAUCAGCAUAUGCAAAUCUCCCACUGAAGGGAAGCAGGCUGUGUCAGAGCAGUGGAGGUAGAAGCUGACAGUAGAUCUCUACAGCUGUCAAAACAACGGCCUGGUAGAAUGCAGCCAUCAAAACACGAGUCUUGUGUGCACAUCUCAGACUUGGCUGUUCAAUCUCUUGCACCAGAAGCUCCUAUGGCAAAUGUUUUUGAAACACGGAUGAUCCGAGUGCAUCAGAAAGAAAGCAAUAGCUGUGACAUCUUGGUCUCCAUCCUCAAAAGGCACUGGGAAUUCCAAACAAUCUAGUAAUUGGAAUUCAUAGCUAGUUUCUGUAUGAAAAGUCAGCUGUAGAAAAUAGUGUGUUUGAAAGUAUCCCCUACUCCAUACAUCAGCAUGUAACCCGGAAGCUUUCCUUCCUUGCAGUUCCCUUUGGGUUGCUUUUCCCAGUAAGAGGUCCUACCCCCUUUUUGACCAGAGGCUCUUGUGGUAAAGGGGAGCGCUGUGGGACUUCCAAGCUGGAGUGGAGGGAGAAGCGGGUAGUGAGGCAAUGCUGUGCUAUUGGAAGUUGUGCUGUUGUAAACCAUGGGAACAGCUGACCUGAGGAAUCUGCGAGAAACAAUCCUCUAUCGUCAGACACUGAAUAAUCUAAUGACUUAUUUCAGUUUCUUAAAAAUUGCCUUUUCAUCAGUUGAAAGUUGCAAAUUGCUGGUUUAAUGAGUCCCAAGCAGAGAAAAUAGAAGUAAAAAUAUAUGCAUCUUAUCUAAUAAAUGCUGAGCACUAGACAGGCAUGACUAAAGCAAACUAACCUGCAGAUUUUAAAUCUCUUAGGAUCUGUUGCAGACAGCUUGGUUCAAAACAGCCAACGAAAGAACAGAGCUGCAGCAGGUCUGCCUCGGCACCACUUGCUGCAGCUCCUGGAGGAGCAGCGUUGCAUUUUCUGUUUGGUAAACUGCUGACAGUGCUAACAGUACCAUCUUUGAAACAGCAAACUGAGCAUGUGCCAUCCCUUUGAAGGACACAUGCUGAAAUGCAGGAUGAGUAGUUCCAGAUAAGCCAGCACAGUAUGUCAGUACCUUCAGCGUGUUGCACAAACUUGCUGAUAGGGGACAAAACAAAAACCACAGAAACAAAAGCAGCUCAACAUAUUGUUCUGGUGAAAUGAGAACUCUCUCCCCAGUGUCUGUAUGCUUUGUUUAAUGGAUCAUGGGAGCCUCAGGAUUCACCAGUGUCUCACGAAGCUGCACCAGGCGAUGGCAGAUGGCAGCAGGAGCACGCGGUGCAAGAAUGCGCCCUUCUCUUAAAUGCAGCAUGAGGGUGGAGGCCCUGGGCUUCUUUCCACGCAUGACUCAAAUGAAUCUUCUGCCUAAUGAGUAGCAUUUUGAAGUCAGCUUAAAAAUCCUAUAGUGAUCCUAUCUAACCAGCUUCUCCUACGUAAAGAUUAAUUUUUUAUAAUGGUGGUUUUCUUUCCAGUUGCCCAGGGCAGUUAUUUGCUAGGGCAGCCUCCUAUCAGCUGAGAUAACAAGGGCAAAGACUGACAGUCCAGCAGAGUCUGGGUUGUGCUCAUUUCUGGGGGAGCAGCGGAUACUAUUAAUGGUGUUCAGGCCUAAAUGGAACCAAGUGUCUCAUUGGGAAAAUAUGUUGGGGAGAAAGGGCUGUGCUAGGGGGCUGCAUACCCAGAUUGUGCUCCUGUUGGAUGACUGGCUGAUAAAACCAGCACUCCUAUAUAACCUUGCAAAAGUCAUUAAUGAAGCUUCAGUGCCUCACAGUGAUGGUGGUGCUCCCAGCUGAUGGAGACAUGCUGGAGCAAGCUGCAGUAACAGUGUCUGACUGGCAGUCUUCCCUGCUGGGUGCUGCUGUCAGGAAGGCACAGUAGAGACUACGUAGGCAUAUUGAAAUAGGGUAUGAGAUCAAAUCAUCUAAAAGAUCUGCAAGGACCCUUGUUGUCUUCUUCCUUGCAGUUUGCAAAUUGCUGCUGUAUACUGAUUUUAUCUGAUUUCAAAUGUAGCUUAAGAGACUGUUUGGUAGGCAAGAGCAUCUCUAAACUAGUGGUGAGCCUUUGGGGGCUGUGUGGCAGGUGACACAGGCUGGAGGUUUCCAUAAGUAUAGGAUCCAGUUGGCAGCAUAGGCUGGUGCCCUUGGAGGUGGUAUUGCUGCAAUGGGCGAUCUGUGUCCUCAGCUGAGCACUGGCACAGAACUAGCUGUGGAUGGCAGAGCCUCGAUUUCUUCUUCCAAGUAGCAAUGGGCUGCAAAAAUUAACAUGAGUAAAAUCCAUCUCCAUCCUAGGAACAUGUAAACAUCUGGACGAGUAGUUAUGAAGAUUAAUGUUAUGCACAGGGUAAGAAUUCCCACUGACAUUUGCUCAGUUUGCCCAAGCAAGUUAGUGGAAACCUCCUGUGAAUAUGAACCGUACUCUGCAGUGCUGCGCAGGCAUUUAACAGCUUGGAUGCCAGUCUCCUUACAGGCACAUCAGUAAGUCUUAGUCUUUAAUUGCCUUAAAAUAUAAUAUUGGAAGAAAAAAAAAGUCAUAGAGGUAUGUGUAACUUUUAAGACUAAGUGGAAAAGAAGUAAACAACAAUAAAGUUAUCCCCAUCUUUGGACUUAAAAUCAGUCCUGACUGAGGCAGUUCUUCAAGGAGAGUGGGUGACAGCUGUCUGUCAGGUCUGAGCAACACGUCUUCUGCACUGAUGAUCAAUGCCUGAAAUAACGCUGAGGUGCAGCAGUAGCUGUGUAUCAUUCAUAGGAGGGUGGCAGCUGCUCCAAGUACAGCACUGAGCGUGAAUGCCUGCUGUCUCGUGGUCAGUGGUUACUGCUGUGCCUGAAGCCUGGCUGUGCCUGUGGUCAGAUGCUCUGACAUCAAAGGUACUGUUGGCUCCUUUGGGCUGGUGAACUUUAUUGAAAGCAUGCCAUGUUUGGAGUCCCAUGAGCAGGUAACGUGCAUCCAUCUGAGCGUGCAGGUUUGAACGUGUCUGCCAUAAGGUAUUUGAAUCUGGAGGCAAUGUGAUUCUUGCUAUGCAAUAAAAUCAAGAAUACACAGUCUUUUAGUGUCUAAACCCCUCCCAGUCCUCCCCUAUUCUGAACGUACUGUUAUCAUUACACCGAUACUUGCUGUGUAAUACACUUUAAAUGAGUGUGAAUGUGCUAUGGACUAAUGUGGUUAUCUCCAUAUGGCAGGAAGUUGCUUGGUCGGAGGUCAUCUCCAUACUGGUGUAAUUCCAGGCAUGUUGCUGGUUUUAAUAAUAUAAUGACGAUAAUUGAUGUUCUAAAACUGGUAAGGUCAGUGUUCACUGGCUGCUACAUUUACUUGGCAGCCAGCUCAGCAGUAUUAACACGAAAUGAGGCACAAAUCCCACGUCCUGCUCCCAGGCCUGAUAGCAGAAUGGGCGCUCCAAUGAAUCGCAGUGCUGUUUACUCCUUUGGCACUCCUUUCUUGCUGACCUCUGCCCAGGUGUGCCAUGCAGCAGGGUAAGACGGGGUGAAGCCAGGGCCAACCUGAAAAGCCCUCACGUGGCAGUUUUGCCAUGACGAGUUAAUCACAGCAUUUGCUGGUAUUAUUCCAGACUUUUUUUUCCCCCUUUGGAUGUGUGCAGGUUCACAGAGUAAAGGCAGGACGACUGUUGAAUGUGUAUUAAUGGCUAUAAGAAAUAUAGGUCCCAGUUUGCCAGUUGUUCUGCCAGGUUCUCAGACAGGAAUGUUUAGGGAGCUUUUUCUCGGCAUGGUGCAAAGCCUGCAGCUAAGAAAAGAGCCCAGGGAAGAUAAUCUGCCUUUUUCCAUGUUCAGCAUUUCCCACCCGGUGUGAACCUAAAUCAUGUGGAUUUCACUACUGGCUCUGCAAUGUUACGGGGAGAUAAGGCGGUAACAACUCAUUUGUAUCCCCAGAUGAGAUAAACCAGAAGCACAUCUCCCCGUUUGUGAGUGGCUUCCUAUCAGAGGUGAGAAUAACUGCGCGGCACUAAGCUGGCAGUCAGCAGUGAUUAAUAAUAGUAAAUCUUUUGCAUAAAUAGAAAGGUGUCAUUGUGUGUAUUUCACUUACAGUGUUUCUAAUGUGUGUCUGUAAUUAAAUUACAUCUGGUUUUCUGUCCAAGAAAUUAAUGUGCACUUACAUAAUGUGUUGGUGCUCUUAUGUUCAGGAGGGGGAAAUGAGUGCUCUGCCUUUUCAAGUGGAGAUUGCUUCAUCCAUAGCUUUUUGGGGGAGUGGAAAUAGAUUUAUUCUAUCUUUGCACGUUCGUCUGAUUCGGUGCUGAAAUCACUGGAGCAAAUUCAGCAGCCCCGGAUGCCUUCAGUUCAGGAUCCCGUUCUGAAUGAUGAUGGAAGAGAAGAAGCGUGUUACUUUGUGCUAAGUAAGAGAAGGGGACUGUAUUGAACACCGAGUUUGCUCGUUUGAUUUGUAAGCAUAUGAAAUAGCCUGCCACAUUCUUCAACUAAGCACGUAAAUUACUUGAAUCGUGGUUGUGUGUUCUGUGUUUGCUGUUACCAUUGGAAGCAGUUUUAUCAGGCUUCAGUCCCUGUGGUACUCGAGAAAGUUGUAAGAAUGCAAAGCUAUCUGAAGGUCAUUUGCAAUCUUAACAGCAGAAAUUACUAGCUGCUGUCAGCUACUAUAAUGGUGUUGAUAUGUGGCGUAAUAGUUUUACAGUGAAAUGGGAGAUGUAUUGAAGGUAUCUGAAACAGAAGCAGAAAACGUGGCUUUGGUGUGCAGGCAGGAGGAUAUUUCAGUGUCAGCUCUGAACACGAUCCCCAUAUUACACUGAGACGCAACGACUCCUUAAUGAUGGAGGCUGCUGACAGUCAGACAGGCGCUUGGAAAUUCCUCUUCACCAAGUGUUUUGGAGGCAGCUGGCAGACUUCCAGAAGUGUUCUGCUGGAGCUGCACAGCAGGCACACUGAACUAGCCUUGGUUGUGUGCCAGUUCACUACGUGGCAGUGGAUCAGGAUUCUCCAGAGAGGCUCUGCAGUCUCCAUCCCUGGGAGACCUUCAAGAGCAGAGUGGUUGGUCCUCAGCUGUGAUCUCAUAGCUGACCUGGGCUAAGCGGGAGGUUGGAUUGGAUGACCUUGUGAGGUCCUUUCCAGCCACGGUUCUCCUGUGAUAACCUCCUGAGUAGGCUCUGCUUUACAUGGGAGGUGGGAGGAAUUUAUAAACCAUAAUGUUAGUUUAAUUUUUUCUUUUCACAGUGGGUUUGCCUUUUUGAAGUAUCCCACUAGGAAUUCUGCAUCUUGGCUCAGUCGUGGCUUGGAGAAUAACCGAGUGUUUCAGGUCAUUUCCCAGUGAGGGAAUACAGUGGGUUCCUGAACAAGGCGGGUAAAGGCAGCUGCUCCACCAUAGCCUUGCACUGCCUGCUUGGUGUUGUUUAGCAUAAGGCAUAACAGCCAGGGAGAAUUUCAUAAUUUAUUUUUUGAUGGCUCGUGCCAUAGUCAAAACAGAUGACAUGUCUGCUAAUCCUGCAUCCAGAUUGCUUUGGUGGGUUGGGGUGGGCAUUGCAUCAUUUUGUUCUCCUAAACUCUUGUGUUUUUUGUCGUUUAGGAUCUGCCAGAACAGCAGUGCCCUGGAAAUAUCUGACUGCACAAAAAUCAAAAGGAAAUUGGAGAUUGGCUUUGUUAAGGACACCUCCUGUUCUAUGGCACUGUCACUCAAUCGCUGUGUGGGAGUGCAUACAUUGUCUACAGGUGGUAGUGAGGAGGAGUCAAAGCUUCAGAGAGAGCUGCAGGAACAGCUGGACCUCAUAAGAGCUGCAAAAGAAGAUUCCCCAGCUAAAACAUGUCCAUGGAGAGCCAUAUGUGCAUAGCUGUUAGGAUUUUGGAAUCAGUGUGGUGGAAUGACAGGGAGAUGAUGGGAAAGUGAUUUCUUGAAACUUCAGCAUAUGCUUUUCAUUUGUGUGAGCUGGCACUGCCACGAGCCAGAGGAGGCUUGCAGCAAGCGGGGCCAUGCGGGACUGGCACCUGCUCGGCUGUGCUCGGGUGACUUCUGGACCUUCUGGUACUGUGAGUGAGCCGCACUUGAUGGAAAGAUGCUGAGCAUUUUUUCUUGACCCCAUGUCAUUGUGGAGUGGUUGCAGCUUGCUGUCACGGGCAGUCUUGUCUUGCAGAGAGCAGCAUAUCCCUGCAGAAAGAGAAAUGCUGUGGUAGCUCUAGAUGCAAGAGAAGCUUCAAGGAAAGUUUGCAUUUAAUUAUUGUUAGAAAUGUGCAGCAAAACAGAUUUCAUUGUUUUUAGCUCUUACAAAGCCAUAUGCCUAUGUCUCUGGGUUCCAAAACCACAUAACGAACAAAACAAAACAAACAAACAAAAGCAAGACCACAAGCAAGACCACAUAGCAGUAAUUAAAUGUCUCUGUUCCAGAAUAGGGUGCGUACUGUGAUCAAGACUGGCAGUAGCAGGGAAGCCAGGGUGCAUAGCUGAAGGAGGAGAGCAGACAGGAGCAAUGGGCAGGGUUUGCAGGGAAUGAGGAGCGUGGGUCUGUGUGCACCCUGGGAAGGGGCUCGUAACCAAGCACACAGUACUGGAACCUGCUGUGUGGUUGUUUGCAGCUGGAAAAAUGCAAUGGAGACAUGAUUCCUCAUGUAAUUCUUAGGUUGAAUCAGUUGGACCUAUUCUUUGCUUACUCAUUCAAAACUAACAUUUUAUUCUGUCCCAGCGAGCUGAAGCAGACUGGCUUACUUCUCAUAGGGUGUCCAUCCAGCUGCCUUGAAGACAGCAGAAGGAACUAGAGAUUGUGGUCACAGUUCAGUGACUGAGUGAAGGGAUGAAGGUCAUUCCUCUCACUGAGACAGUCUCUUCAUACUCCCUGUCACCGCUUCUCUGCUCAGUGUUGUUCCUGCUAAUCGGGAUGCUUUGAAAUAGAGAGAGAGGAUAGUGGGAGGUGCAAGAAGAAAGACUGAAUUGAAGGCAGAAGAGAGCACAGUGGGGAUACAGACAGAAAAACAGGCUACGUGCUGAGCACAUUUAAAGGAGCACAGCUGGAACAGUGCUGGAGAGUAACAAAACUAUCUUUCCAUGUGUGUUUGCCUGUUCCCGUGUUAUUUUUCCCCAGUACUGCAUACAGCAUGGUUUCCCCACAAGGUUAAAGAUCACAAUAAUGUUUUAUGUAGGUAGCAGAAUACCCUGCGUGGAGGAAGUGGUACAUGAUUUUACUUAGAGAACAGAGAUUUCAUGGUUUUUAACACAUGCAAGGAAAUUUGUCUACUGGCAUCUGUUGCGGAGAUGGUAUCCCUUUGACACAAGUCAGGAAGCAAAAGCAUCUGUGGCUGUAAGGACAGUGCUUGCAGAAAACACUUGUGCAGAUAUCUUUAUUCAGGUCUGGUUCCCAUGUAGAAAGAGGCAUGUCCUCAGGAUGGCUGCUGAAUGCCAUCAGCACUGGGAGAGAAAAGAACAGAUGUAUGGCUGUAAACCGAGAUGUGAAAAAGCAGGAAUCUGAAGUUAGCUUGAAAGUUAUUUGGGCUGGGGUAUUGGUGGGAAGUGUCAGUGGGCAGCAGCUCAGAACCUGCAGUAACUGCUUGGCUGCCUGGCUCUUUCUUCAGCAAUCUCACUUGAGUGUUUUCAUGUGCAAGCAGAGGACACUGAUCUGCCCUGUCUUCCACACAUGUGCAUUCAUUCAGUGCAGUUACCUGUGUUGCUGUAGUAUACCUGCCCCUUUGGACUUGAGCACAAAUGUAUCAGGUAAAUGCAGGUGGAUGCAGCCACCGGUAAAGAAGUUGGUUUUUUUUUUCAUUGUGAUUGAUGCGUGGAUAGCAACCCUAUCCCAGUCUUACUAUUGGAUCAUCAGUCAAGACUUGAGGACUGCUGAAAGUAUGUCCUCAUCCCUAAGGUGUUGCAGUUCAGUGCUGGACCCGUCCAAGCUGAGACAAACUGAUUUUUGCAUUCAACAAAGCAAUGAUAGGACAAGAGGGCAUGGCCUCAAGUUGUGCCAGGGGAGAUUCAGGCUGGAUAUUAGGAAGAAUUUAUUUCCAGAAAGAGCAAUGAGGCAUUGGCACAGGCUGCCCAGGGAGGUGGUGAAGUCAUCAUCCCUGAAGGUGUUUAAAGAAAAGGCAGAUGUAGCACUUAGGGACAUGGUUUAGUGGGCAGUAUUGAUGGUAGGUGGAUGGUUGGACUAGAUGAUCUUAGAGGUCUUUUCCAACCCUAAUGAACCUGUGAUUCUGUGAAUGCAUGUGGAGUAUAUGACUGGCAGAAAGGACGGAUGUUGGGACGCGAAGCCUGAGUUCAGGUCUGAUACCAAAUGACUCCUGCAAAUUGGGCAGAGUAGGCUUCUGCUCUCUCCAUGCUUAAUUUCCUAACACUGUUUGGAGCUAGUUGGGAGCAGGAGAUAGUGAGCUGUCCAGAAAAACAACCAUUCCAGGUGCCGUGAUGAGUGUGGAGUAUACAGGCAUUGCACAGAAAGCAGUGACAGCAUGGUCUGCAUUAUCUGGUGAGGUGGUACAUCAUCUGCAUACCUGUGUGAUUCUAUAUGUGUGUAUCAGCAGCCUAUUGUUACAACGUGCUUAUGUGGCAAUUCGUUUGUGGAGUGUACCUUGUGCUGGUGUUCCACAGUAUUAAUGUUCUCAAGCAUGGGAAGACAUCUGUCAAGCAAGCACUAGUAAAUACCAUGCAGCUGUACUUUGUCAGGGUUCCAUUUUGCAUUUCCCUCUUUUCUCUACCUCAACACUCCUUCAGAUCACACUGACAUCAGUUGUGAUUAUGGCAAAAGAAGAUAACUCCUGUUAACCCUGUCAGAUGCUUGCAUAAGAUGAAGGCAUUUUCUUAAUGCACUCAUAAUCUAUAACCAGUUGUUUUUAAAGCCAUUUGAGAACCGUACAGAGAAGGCAUUUUGCAUUUGGUCAGUCAGAAGUUGGUAACUGUUUUAGAAGCCUGCUGGAAGGAAGACAUCAAGAAAAGCUUUUGCAAAGCUGUGUUUUCACCUCACAGUGCUUUGCAGAGAUGCAUUCUUGGGUUCGGUUCAUAUGGGUUCAUUUCUCUGACUUUCACUUUGAAUUUUGGAAUCAAAGGCAUUUUAAAAUUUUAGAUCAAACUUAUUAGAAAACACUGUAUCUCACCUGGUUUCAGCUCUUUAAGUAGUGAAAAGCAGUGCCUCCCCUGCUGUGAUCCUGAUACAAAUCUGUAAGUCAUCACGCCAGCGCGUUUGAAGCUGGGCCUAGCACUUCUGUCCAGAGUACAGCGUUGCUCAGAAAGUUCAUGGCUUCACCUUUGAACAGGGUGUUGCAGCGAAACAGGCAGCAGGCCGGAUUUCUGGGUAGAUGGCAAAGACAGCACCCAGCUUUCAUUUUGGGGAUUUUCCUAGCAUAAAGCUGCCCGAGCCAGAAGGCAGUUUGCGGCCACAGAUCCCUGAUUUUGCUCCUUUGAAUCACAGCUGGUGUCCUUUUGGGUGCAUCAGACGUGUUUGCUUCUGUCCUGGAGGCCGACAUUCAGCCAUCAUGGCCGUGGCUAAGGUCUCCAUCCUUGCCAUAUAGACUGGAGUCUGCAGCAGUAGGGCUUAGAACUUGAUACAAGCCUGAAGGGAGAGUUAUGAGCACAGUGACUGACAGCUCACGACUGUCUGAUAUGUCAGACCUCUGAGACCAGGUCUGGGAGGGAGGGUGAAUACAGUACCUGGGGAGCAGUCCCUUCCCUUCCUCCUGCUGGGGGGCAGUGGGGCUGGGCCUGUCCCUGCUGCCCACCCUGCCCUCCAGAGCACAGCUGCCCCUGCGGUUUCCGGGAAUCCCCGCCUGUAUGUGGUUUCUUAACCAGUCCUGCAAAAAUGUAUUUUUUAUUGAAUGUUAUUCUAGCCAUAAAACUUUUAAGCUGUUCAAAUACUUUCCUUUGUGCAGUAGACAUCUGAGACUAUUAGGCAUUAACAAGUAAAUGUACUUUUUUUUUUUCAACUGCUUCAAUCUGCUAAGGAGUUUUCUUUGGACUGAUUCUCCUCUAGUGUUGUACCAGAGGAAACAUUACUGUGAUCUGAUAUCAUAUCUCCUCACUAUCUGUCUCCUCAGAUUGCAGAUGUGGAUGUGUUUUAUGUUGAAUUACAAAGGGACUUUAUUUUGUGGUAACCAGUUAGGUCAAACAGCUCACCCAUGGUCCAGAAGUGCUUAAAGCCCAGAGGUACCGAUGUGAUUCACGGCAGUCCCUCUGUAGAGCCCAUAGAGUGUGGGGUGAGAGCGUGGGCUUCAGUAAAUCUCAGCUGGAAGAUUUUAGGAGGUGAAUUUCACUAUUUCUUGAGCUAUUUAAUAAUGACUAUAAUCCAUUUUUUAACACCUGUCACAGGAGCUUCAUGUCACUGGAGCUGUUGACUUUAAUGUACUUCAUUACUUGUAUAACGGCAUCAUCUGUUGUUGGCAUCCAAUUAAGUGACAAACAGUGAGAAGGAUCCUGCCCCAAACUGUAUGAGACAGGAAGCAAGCAGCAUUCUUGUAGUUGUGCAAACAGUUAAAGCAGUGCCAAAAUUUGCUUAACAUAUUCCGGAUCUUAUUGAAAUGCUUGGCCUAGUAUGGUUAACUAUACACCUGAAUUGGGCUGUAGACGCUUAUUUCAUUGGCCUGAUAUUCCUGUUGGUAUUCCUGUUGAGGGGACUCUUUUCUUGGGGUUUCAGGAAAGCUCCUUGCUGGGGUUGCUGGGAUCAGUUCUGCCCCGACCACCCACAGCCCAGGCAGCAUCGCUCUCAAGUAAGGCUCAUUCCAUAGCAGGUGCCAGAGGCUUGCCCAGGGCAGGCUGCUCUCAGCCUGUGGAAGAAAGCUGUGUAACACCUCUUAAUCUGUACGUAAUGGUUUGGAUAAGGAAACUGGUAAUCUGAAAACAUUUAUCUGGUGAUGCUUUUGAUUCGUAUGCCUGAGUGAAAUAUUGUGAACUGCUCCCAGUCCUGUAAAUGCAAGGCAAUUAGACUAUGAGGUGAAGUAUAAAGAGGAAUUUGAAGAGCACCAUGCCAGUGAUAAAACCCGUAAAACCCUUGCACAUCCAUCACCUGUGUUGUGGAUGCAGUUCUAAUCCCUGUAUUUUAAGAAGGGCAUUGGGGAGUUAAGAGGCAUUACAGUAAAGAUGAUCGUGGGGCUGAGGCAGCUGUUUUGGGGGGAGAUGAGGGGUGGUUGUUGGGCAAGGCAGACCCAAUAGGGCACUUGUGAUUUCAGCCUUCAGCAACAUAGGUAAAGUAGCUCUCUUCUCUGUUGGACAGAAUGACUGGAGGAGAAUUCUUGGGCCUUUUAUUCAUUAUUUACAUGGCUUUUGUGUCUGCUGGCAUAGUGUAGCGUAACCCAGAAUGCGUAAAAUACAGUGAAGUUGAAAUAUGUGUGAAUUUAAUGCCUGAGAAACAUAAAUCAUGUCAUGCAGGUGAGAUGCAUUGACUGAAUCAAAUGCACUGAACUUCAGAGCCAGUCCUUCUUUGGAAGCAUGUUAAGAACUGUCCACCCCACUCUUCUCAGGGCAUUGUUGUGUGCUCUACCAAAUGAGAUUCUCAAUUCUUCUUGGAAAAAAAAAAGAUUUUUGUUUCCUAUUCUGUCUUCGAGUCCAUCUUUGCAAAGAAGCAACAAGUCUCUGAGAGGGGGAGAUGCUGGUGAGGCUUCAUCUAAAUCAGGCAGGUUUAUAAGACCAGGAGGGAAAACACAUUUUCAGACAUGGUCAAACAGAGGAGCUGGAUGAUUUCGUCUUUGUCCAUUCAUAACAAUGACGGAACAGAAACUAAAAGUUGAGCUUAAAAGAGCAAAAGCUUUGGAAAGAAAACUUGCUCAUGGCUUCAGAGCUGGCUUGGAGUAUGUAGGCAGGAAGCCUGGAGCUUUGUAUGGGAGUUUGGUUUAACCCUAUGAAAAACAUCAUGGAAGAGAGCUGUGGGAACUUCAGCAGUUUUCUGCAGAGUUGAACUAGGAAAGCCAGGAUAGGUUUAAGCAUCAAGGCAGGUUUUUUUUUUCCAGGAAAGCAGAGUUCUAAAAUAACACCUCAGAGGUGUUUGUAGCAUUGGAUUUUUCAUUCUUAACUUCUUAUUCAAGAAAAACUUUGAUUGUUAUGUGUAGGAAAUUCAGUGUUUGUAGCUUAUUACUUGUUUUGCAUGUGAACAAUUUCAGUCAACACCUAAAAAUUUGUUUAUGACAGUUUUGCCACCUGUCCAGUGGGAACUGCUUGACUUUUUAACCAGCCAUUGACUUGCAGAACUGCUUUCAUAAGAUGCAGAAAGGAUUGGAAGGUGUUUUCCUACAGACAGAUUACAGCAACAUCUUUAAUUUCAAGCCUGUUAGCAGCUGAUAGCCUGUUAUCCCAUAGCCUUUACACAGACCUUGACUCUCAUAACCCUCACAAUUAUUCUUCAUCCCACAAAUGUUAAUAUUUACUAUAUAGUCAAUCUCCAAACCACAGGGAGUCAUUUGCAUGCGUGGUAUCACUUGCACUUCAACUAAAUAAAACCAUUAACCUUUCACUGAUACACUUAGGUCAUAGAAGUCACACUUGUAUGGGUUGUGUAGUUUGGGUUAACGCUGUAACAUUCCCUUCUCACCCUUACAGUACAGCACCUCCUGAGCAUGGCAGCCCUGACACUGAUGCUGAACUUGUGUGCCCUGUCCCAGGCGGGGACUGGCACUGGAGCAGGUCGCACUGAGCCAUAAUUGUAAAUUCUCUGGGGCUGGAGUCACCAGCCAGUAAUCCUCUAUGCACAGGCUCCCCCUUAUGGAAAUGAAAGAUACUAAACAAUGCUUUUUUCCUCUUGUCUCAGACAAAACUAAUAGUUUAUUACUGUGAAGACACUUCUCAAGCCUGCAGUAGUACUUUUCAACUUAAAGUUUUAAGUUCGGGUGAUGAUGGAAUGGAUGUAGGCUCACCGUGGCAAACAUGAAUGAUGAUGACACAUGUAUGUGUUUAUACUCAAAGUGAUAAGAGCUCCUUUGGAGGCUGGAAUUUCUUGUGAUUUCCUGAUGGUGAAGAAGGGAACAGGAGCUCUUCAGAUGUUAAGAGAUGCUGCAGAGUAAAUCCUAGCUGUAGCCUCCUCUGUCUUCAGAGGAGCAAAAGAAAGUCAGUGGGAUCAAAUAAUUUAGUUCUGGAAUAGUUAUAUUUUGAUGCUCUACAGUGGAUAUUUUGGAUUGGAUCCUGAUGGAUCAGAACCAUUGGAAGAGUUAGAAAUAGACACCGUGGAUUUUUCCCUUAGCCAAUUCUAGUAAAAAGUUUCAAGUUGUUCCAGUGAGACACACCAUGUGUAGAUUUAGAUAUGCUCUUGCCUUCUUACUUUUAUUUUGCGUGAAAGAUGGUUCCCAGCUUCAUGAAAGCUAUGUGAGAGCAGUUACAGUUCUGUGCUCAGCCUAUUCUGACACUCUAGCACAUGUGCAUGACAACAGUAGGCUAGACAGAGCUUUGGAUUUGCUCAGUGGGGCAGUUCUUGUGACUGCAGGAUAUCUCCUAGUGCCAAAGUACCAUAGUUGGAGCUGAUGCUGAUCAGCAUCAUCUCACUGAUGUCCUGUGUUCUGGUGAGAGGCUCUGAUAGCUUGUGUGAGUUGGGGUGACAGAGCAGUUCUUUCUUUUGCGAGACCAACUUUCUGUUGGCGUAAGCCAUAUAAAUGGGUGUUGUUCAGACAACACCUGAAGGGUCUGCCUGGCUCCCUAACAUCAAAAUCACAUGGGGAGAUUGCUUAAACAUUUAAAGUACUGUUGAAGGUACAUUAUUAGUAACAACAAAUAGUAUUGUUAGUUUUUAUAGUGCUAGUAUUAAUAGUAUCAAACACAUUUAGAAUAUAUUGAAGUUGCUGGUCUGGGCCCUCACCUCACAGAUGAAGUCAUUCCUGUACCAGAGAGAACAGGAGGCACACGUGUCCCAGGGCAGGAUCUGAACUGGAGAGGCACAUACUGGUUUUGCUUUUUUUUCCCCCCCCAUUUUUAGAUUUUAUUAGUAUUAUUGAUUUGUAUUGUUCUUCUAACUUGUUUAUUACCCAGUUUUGAAACCAAGAUCCUAGUGGAGCUACUGGAGUGGACUUUCAUGCUGAACUUGAGUCCUUCUUCCCAUCCAAACUAAAGUAUUCUGCAAGGCAUGGCUCACACAGUGCUUGCAGCCUUUCUGCUUUGCCCGUGUGCUGAAUGAGGUUCAGGCCUUUGUGGGCUCAAUGUGAUGCCCUCCUGUGUUCCUGGUCUCAUUUCAAUGCUGCUAGGGAAAUUGAUUUUAAUUACACAUGCUGCUGAUCACCUAAUCUCAUAAGGGGACAUGGCUGAGAAAUAAAGAACCCAGAAAAAGGAAACUAAUUUAUGCACUCUGGGGACAGGAGGAGUGAUUUGAGUGGUGCAUGGGAAGAGGAGUGCUGGAGAGCAAAAAGAAGCUGAGAUGAUGGAUGGUGUGAUUAAAAACUCUGAUGUUUCUCAGUACAUUCUCCCUUCAUUUGCUUAAAGCAAACACCAUUUCAGUUUUCUCUGGCGGCAUCUUUGGGUUUUAUUUUAUGCAGUCAUUUUUAAUGUACUUUGCUAUCUGGCCUUGCAGUUGUAGGCUGUGUUCUGCAAACCCAACUGAACCAAACUGACAGUGGAGGGCCCAUUGCCUGAGCAGCACAGUUCCAGUUUUGUGUUUGAGAUCAGUUCUCAAGCACAGGGAUUGCACUGCAAAGGCACUCGGGGGGACCGUGAUGCCACCCAGACAAGUCUCAGUGUGCCCAGUUUCUCCGUCCCUCAGCGGUCCUCUCUGCCCAGCACCGAGCAAAGGCCGUGCCCGCAGCCUGCCAGGCUGCCGUAUGCCCGAGUCCC
rnacentral:lncRNA from 1 species